rnacentral:rRNA from 1 species
GAUCAUGGCUCAGGAUGAACGCUGGCGGCGUGCUUAACACAUUCAAGUCGAACGAAGAAGAUCGGAGCUUGCUCCGAUCGGAUUAGUGGCGGACGGGUGAGUAACGCGUGAGUAACCUGCCUGCGAGAGGGGGAUAACGAACGGGAAACUGUUGCUAAUACCGCAUAACGCAUCGAUUCCGCAUGGAGAUGAUGCCAAAGGGAAACCGCUUGCAGAUGGACUCGCGU